GACGAACGCUGGCGGCGUGCUUAACACAUGCAAGUCGAGCGACUGCAUUCUUUUCGGAGGGUGUAUGGAGCGGCGAACGGGUGAGUAACACGUGAGUAAUCUGCCUUUGGCUUGGGAAUAACUUCGGGAAAUCGGGGCUAAUGCCUGAUGUUUACUGUCUGCUGCAUGGUGGGUGGUGGAAAGAUUUUUUGGCCGAGGGAUGAGCUCGCGGUCUAUCAGCUUG
rnacentral:rRNA from 1 species